rnacentral:rRNA from 1 species
UACGUAGGGACCAAGCGUUGUUCGGAUUUACUGGGCGUAAAGGGCGCGUAGGCGGCGUGACAAGUCAGUUGUGAAAUCUCCGAGCUUAACUCGGAACGGUCAACUGAUACUGUUGUGCUAGAGUGCAGAAGGGGCAAUCGGAAUUCUUGGUGUAGCGGUGAAAUGCGUAGAUAUCAAGAGGAACACCUGAGGUGAAGACGGGUUGCUGGGGCUGACACUGACGCUGAGGCGCGAAAGCUAGGGUAGCAAACGGG